UUUAUAUAGGCAAUAAAAUAAAUUACUAGAAUAGCAGUACAACUUUAUAAUUUUUCUAACAAUAAAUUCAGACAUUAUAUACUGUAGCCUAUAUUGGUUAUUUACAUCAAUGGAUAAAUACAGAAUAGGGCAUAUAUAUUAUGACUAUUCUAACACGAUAAUAGUUAUAGUAAUUAAAUAUAAUAAUAAAAGUAUAGUAGUUAUACACUAUAAUACCUAUACGUAUAAGGUUGGUUAAACAUCGUGAAUAGAUAACAGUGUGGAGGAGAAGAAUUUAAUUAAAACAUAUAUGAUAAUAAAGUUACACGGUAUAAUAUGAUAAUUUAUUAGUAAUAAGAUCAUGUGGACGACCGCAUUUAAGGCGUAUUUGGAGUGGUGGGCGUAUUAUACUAUGUAAAUUAAAAUUGAUUGAGCCUGUUGAUCUAUGUGACCUAUGGAAAUUUACAGCCAGGACUCUUUUCUUGAUUUUUUUUCGUUGAUUUGAAGGUUUUUUUUGUAGGGUUUCGUUACGUAUGAACUACGGUGCCUUUAUUAUUACUCUAAGACAGGGUCGGCAAUGCGUGGACAAUUUUUUGUUGGCUGCACAAAGAUAUUACAUUUUCAAGUUUUAUUUUUGUUCAAUAAUAUUUAUCAUAUUAUUUUCAAUACAGUAUAGUUGUUUUGGUCUGCAGCGAUGAUUAGUAUAUAGCCUGUGAUCACGUCCGCAUGUUUGACUGUGUGCGUUUGUAAUAGUUUCAUUUUAUUAGUUAGUUCAGACAUAAUUAUGGAGGCUAAAAAAGAACAAUUUUUGAUGAUAUCGUUUUUUUUAAUGAUUCUUGGGUUGAUUUAUACUUUUUGGUAGGAACCUUUAUGUCGGAUUUAUGAAAAAAAAACUGUACCAGUCAUGAAAGAAUAUAAUAUAAAACGGCAUUAUGAUAGUGAACAUAAAUCAACUUUAGAAUAUAUCAUUGGUUAUUUAAGAAAAAAAAAAAGAAAAAUUAAUCAUUUUAAAUCUUUGUUAAAUAAUAGUCAACAAAAUAUUUUUAAAAAACAAAUUAAUCAAAAUAAUUCAGUACGGGCUAGUCAUGUAGUUGCACAAACUAUAUCGAACAAUUAUCGUCUUUCACGGAUACUGAAUUCAUUAAAAAAAUUAGUGAUGAACAUUUUGCACACUAUAUUAUGAGUUUCAACGACAACUUUGCAAGCUGAUAUCGAAAAAUUAAGUAAUAAAUUGCAGGCACAGAAAUCGCAUUAAUUUACAAUUUUAUAUUAUUUUUUUCAAUUUUAUUUUUUCUUAAAAGAAAUUAUUUUCUGUUAUUUUUGUAUUUUAUACUCAUAUUUCCAUACAAUUCAUAGUAUUAGAUAUAUUAUAUCUAAAAUUUUUUUUUUUAUUUAUGUGGCCCUUGAUAAAAAGUUGAAAAAAUAUAGCCCCCGUUGAUAAAAAGGUUGCAGACCUCUGCUAUUAUAAGGACUUUAUUUUGAAAAUUCAAAUUGCUUACUAUGUGUGUAGUUGAACAUUUACCCCAGAUAGGACAAGUGUGGGUGACUGCAGAGGCGGCGGCGGAGUAUUGGUCGUGUCGUGGAGGUAGGUAGUUGCUUAUAUUAUAUCGAUAUUGAACAUUUUUUGUGUACAACUGAUUUUUUGUUUAUUAUUGGAAAUAAAACGGAGAGGAGCUGGUGUGCUUGUUGAAGUUUAGUUGAAAUAUUCAAAUAUACGAGGCCACCAGGGUUAGCAUCUUGUCUAAUGUAAUACCGAGAAGUGUUUGACAGGCGAUUGCCCAGGAAUAGACUCGUUUUCAAAUUGUAGAGGUAGUGGAGUGGAAAGCGCCGUAACCUAAAUAUGACACCUGUGCUUCUUGAAUCGUUGAUUUGGAUUUUCCAGUUUUUACACCAGUUUGAUAACCUAACCUUAAGGUGAUCUCGUAGGUUGUUGGUUAUCGUUUCAAUAUUACGGGAUACAACUACGUAGGCAAAAUAUAAUAAAAUACACUUAAAAUUAAAUAUCGAUAGCCGAUACAAAAGGGUAACAUAUUUAUGUACGCUCAUAGUCUUAUGGGGUGGGAGGGGGGGAUUUUAACGCAUUACUUUAUAUUGUGUUAGUAUUAAUGGUCUAUAUUACACACAAAUAUCACUGCGUGCAACCGAAAAUUAAAAAGUUUAAUUAUGUGGCACAUAAGUAUUUUCUUUAUAUGAUGACACAUAAGUUGACUGUAUUAUGCAUUGACACGAGCAUUGGUAAUAUAUGCUGACAGAUCUUUUUCACUCAAAAUCGUUUGUCGUAUCUGACGAUGAUUCAUCAUUUAAUUCGAAUUUAAUGUACAUACAUUACAGCGAGUGACUUAAUGACGAGAUAAACAACUCGACAACUAUACAACUGUACAGAACCACUGUUCUUAUCAUUCUCUUCCCCCUUUUCACUUUAAGUCGUUUGAAUUGGCUUGUGAUAAUUACAAAAAAAUAAUUCUUACGCCUUUGAUUUGAUUUGUACCAUUUCAGUUUUAGUUUAGUAUGUUUAUUUUAAAUGUAUGAUUCUCGUUCAAAAUGUUUAUAAUUAUUUAUUCUGGAAGAAUAUGUAUUAUGAAAAACUAUUUAACGUAUAGUGUUGUGAAUAAUAAAAUCACUAUUUAUUAUUAAUUAACGAAAAAAAUCUGCUCGUAAACAUGCGUGAUAAAUAAUAAUAUAAUUUAAAAGCUUGACAUGAUAAUAUCAUAAUACAUGUUAUUCUAAGUAGUACAUUUAAAUAGAUUUUAUUCAAUCUUUAAAAUAAUAUAUUUUUUUUGUGCUUUUUAUGGAGAAAUUUGUUCAUACUUUAAGAAACAUUUUGCCACAGUUUCAUCAUUUUAGGAUGGUCCCAAAGGAAUCUCAAAAAAAUCAACAGCACAGCUGGCCACAGCGAUAACGCUCCAAUGACCAAAGUCACCGCAUAGUAUACAACUGGAAAAGGAGGUGAUUUUUAUUUGAAGAAAAGAAAUGGGUAUCAUCACAAGGCAAUCACUAAAUGGCAUGAAAAACCUACAACAAAUUGCUUAUAGUUGAAAAUUGCAAAAACCAGAAUUUGUAAAAAAAAAAAAAUGGCGGUGAGCAUGCUUGGUGAAUCAUCCUGUGUAUGAAAAAUAUAAUAGUGCUUCGUUGUAUAUUUUGCUCAACUAUACAUUAUGAUUAUGGCAUAUAUUUUUUUUUCUCGACCUUUUCGGCUUUUACACGUUGAAAGAUAUCAUAGAAAUAUAUAUUAUAAUACGCCAUGCAAUGAUUUCACUACUGCGUCAUAUUUUGUAAAGACGAACAACUGUACUUACAUUUAUGACACUGUAAACAAUUCAAGUUACAACAAUAAAAUUAUGUAAUUUUGAAUAAAAUAAAGUUUUUUUUUAUAAACAAUAUUAUUUAGUUAUUAUACAACAUCAAAAAAACAUUUUUGACAUUUUCCCUUCGCGAACAAACAAAGACUUGAUUUCUUUAAAAGAGUAAACUAAGUGUUAGUUUGUGUUUCAAUUAGUAAUUCACUGGUACUUAUUUUAUUUUUCGAAACAGAAAACAUUUAUAUUUUUUUUUUUUUACGAUAUUUUCGAAUGUUUAAUAAACGGACAAAACGUUUCUAAUUAAAUGUCGUACUACAUUUUGUAAAGAAAACGUACCGAAACGUAACAAUUACAUGAACGUAUUAUAUAUUAAUUAUAUUAUACAAAGGUAAGUACAGUAUAUAUUCUACGGCAAGUAAGUUGAACAAGAUACAUUAUAUUCCUGUUGUAUUUUGACCAAGCUCAAGUAUAGUAAUAUGCGUAGUCCUUAUGUAUUAUUAAUUAGAUUGUUUUACAUCAAAUGGCGUAUAAGAAUACAAAUUGAAUUGUCAUCAUUGUAAAGUACCGAAUUUUCCCUAAGUCGGAUUCGACCCUUUGAUUGGCAAAAUGGGAAAACAAACGCCGAAAAGGAGACGUAAUAUUCUACCAUGGUUAAUACUAUCUACCACCGUCUAUAAUUUUAGUUCAUUCGUUUUCCUCGACCUAUUCACAUCUAAUAUUUUCUAUAAAUACAUUACAUUUUAAUUUAAAAAUUUGUUUACAACCCUGAACGAUAUAAUAUUAUUGUGCACGAUGAACGAAAUGUUGAGUGCUUGAGGAGCAGUAAUUCUUCAAUUUUCAAGCAUUAUUCCUUAUAAAUAUUAAAUGCAUUUAUUCACGGAAACGGCACACUUUAAACUUAGGAAUCGUAACUCCAAUUAAUUAUCUCAAAGACCGGGAUGAAUUCAACGUAAAAUAAAUUACUAACCAUAACAAAUAAAGUUCAAGAUGACGUGGUGGCUAAAGAAGAAAAACAGCAACGAUUAGUAACAAAAAUCUCAACAGAAACCGACAACCCUUAUCGUUCAUAAAACGGGACGGCUGCUGACUUUUUUUAAUUAUAUUUUUUCUUCUGAAAUAUCAAAGUAAAGAUAAAUAAUGAAAACUAACUACGAUGCAAUGCAAAUAUAAAUUUAAAAAAAACCUAAAUUAUAAAUAAAAGCAGCUGAUAAUUGUUUUAAAAAAGAGUAUAAUAUACAAUUAAAUUGGUUUUUUUUUCAAUAAUUUAAUCAUUCGACUCGAUAGUUUUGACAAUAGAAUUAAUUUAAAUUUAUAAUAAAAUACUGCACAGCAUACACAGUAGGUACUAUAUACAUCGUAAUAAAAAUGUGUGUUGUAUAAUAAUAUUGUUACAAAAGGUUUCCUACAUUUUUACAAAUGGACAAAUGGUACUACCUACCUGGUUGAAAAAAUCGCGGAGUCGUGCUGUAUGUAAAACACUUUAUUGCGUUUUAUUAAAUUGGUUCUACGUCAUUGUAUUACUACGGAUUUUAUACAAUAUGUACAUUUUAUACAAAUAUAUAAAUCUCAGGAUACCAGUGCUAGUAACUAUAGUAAGAAGUUAUUUGGAGAUACUUAACCUGUGAAAUCUACUCCGAAUCGAAUUUGAGCAUAUUACUGCAAAGUGCAAAAUAAUGUACAAUGUGCACUGUGCAUAUUGUGCAUCACGAACAAUGAAGUUUUUUUCCCCCGUUUUGCUAAAAAUCAAGAUGAAAUAGGUACAUUUUAAAUACUUACACUCACUACAACAUAAUGUUUUGCUACAUUUCAACCUAUAGAAGAGUAAAAUAUAAAAUGUGAACCGAAAAUGUUGUUGUUUUACAACAUAAAUAGCAUUAAAACUAAAAUAAAAUAAAAGUUGUACGGAAAUAGAAAAUUCUGGAGUAAACCCAUCUCACUCGUUACAUAAUCCACCUGUCAGCACAAACGUUUUUUAUAAUUAAAAAAAUAACCCUAAUUUAUUUAUAAUUACAUACAACCUUACACGAAUUAAAUUAAAAAUGAAAUAAAUCGAAGUCGGCCAACAUCAUAUUAUUAUUAUUAUGACAGUAUAAACAUCUUACAUUAUUAAAAUAAAAUACAGUCUUAAAUGAACUUUUGUCGAUGUUGAAUCGCAAUAAAUAAAAAUUUUCAUAAUUUAUAAUAUCAAAAAAUACAUUUUAGAGUUUCCCGAAGUAUAAUAUAAUUUCGGCAAUCAAUUUUUAAUAACUGCCCCAUAAAUUUAACUAUAUGCAAGGUAAAAAAGAGAGGAAAAGUUAGGGACUAACUAGUUGUCUUGUGAAAACGAGUCAUCAAUCAUCGUCUUGUGUCGAUUUCCAUAGAAAAAGCUUCAAGUUUUUUUUUUUUUAUCUUCAGAUUCUCCGUUUGAUCGAUAGCAAAACAGUCACUUUGGAAAAUGGAUUGACAGGCUAAACGGGUUAAAAUAAAAAAGACAGCCCUAUCUGUCUAAUGACACUUUUUAUCUUAAUACUGUACACCACAAGUCCACAAACAUAGAAAAAAAUAAAAGAUCUUUUCUUUUAAAGAAUAUAUGCCUAUAAAUAUAGAUGUUUACAAUAUAUUAUGUACAUUCAACAUAAUAUAUAAUAUACUUUUUAUAUAUUAGAUUAUGUAUAAAAUAUUAUACAAUAUUAUAUUAUUAUAAUAAUAAUAUUAUUUUAAUUUGAAGAGAGAAUUGGAUGUCCUUUACUAAAUUUCAAUAUUUUUAUGGGCAUUUUUUUAUAAUAUUGCUUUAAGUAAAGGUAUAUUUAUGAAACGCGUAACGCACUAGGUAAUAUAAUAUAAUUGUUACAUUAAAAUAAAAUAUACUUAUCUACUAUAGCUACUUAUGCUGGUUAUGACAAUCGUAUAUUCCUAAAAUACAAAUCAUGACGUGUAUUCACUCAGUAAUAAUUUGAUUAACAUCCAGUUGAUAGAAUACGAUCGGUUGGCGGUUAGAGUAAAUGUGGUUGUCGCAAUUUGUAGUAUUAUAAUAUUAUGUAGUUAUAUUUACUUAUCAGCGACAAACACGAAUCACCUAAACAUGGAUUGUGAUUUGAAAUGUAAUUUAACGAAAGUCGAUAGUUUUGUUUUCAGUCUAAGCUCUAUACAUAGGCACUAAAGUACAUAACCUAAAGUUAUAUUAUGUCUUUAAACUAAUGUUGUGGCUGAAAAAAGUUCCCUCGUUGUUCCCCAAAUUUGCAAGUGAAAACCUAGAAAAAAAUAAUUACUUGAUUAUAUUAUAAGUCAACCGAGUAUUGUUUUUUUUUUUUUUUUUUUUUUUUUUUUUUUUAUAUAUAUCGGUGCUGUUGCAGGCGUUUAGUUUUUUAGGGAGCUUGCUGAAUUGUUGAGGGAGUAAAAUCCCAAAUACUUUCUUGAUUCUCACCAGUCGUCAAUCAAUGGUUAUCCAAAGAUUUGUUAAAUCUGUUGGUUCAAUAUUUAAUAAAAAUUGUACAGCAUCUAAAAAAAAAUUCUCAGACCGUCCAAUUUACACCUCUGUAUGUAAGUAUACUAUAGAAUAAAGUAUAAUGUAUAUAUAUAGGUAAAUUCUAAAAUCGAUUUCUUAUUAUUGUUGUUGUUAUUACCAUAUUAUGAUUAAUCAUUAUCUUAUUAUGUUGAAAUUUUGUGUUAGUCAAAUUAUAAACCUGUGAAACCAAAUAUAUUAUACCUAUAAAUCUGUUAUUUAUCAUUUGUAUCAUGUAAAAUGGAAUUUUCAUCUCUCUUCUUCAUAAAUAUAUUAUUAUUAUUAUUAUAGGUACCUUUAUUCAUAUUUUAUCCCGAAAUGGUAAGUAGUUACUUUUUAGUACAUUCAUUAAAGAAAAAUUUGAUACGCUUUAAUUAUACGCUGUCCAGUUAUUUAUCAUUAUCAAUGAAUUAUAGUGUUAUCAUAACACUGUUAUGAUAUUUUAGAAGGUAUAUACUAUUAUUAAACUAAUAUCAUGUACUCGGUACAUUUUAUUCAAUAGUUGAAUUUUACGAAGCCAUUAAAUUAUAUUUUAAUUAUUUUAAAUAUAACCAUAAACAAUUAUUUUUUGUACUAAAUCUGCAGUUCCGUUAGAGUUCAAUAUUGAUUUGGUUUAUUUAUUAUUAUAGAACAUAAGAACGGGGGACGGAGUGGUCGACCGGACUCAGGCGUCAGCUGCAACGCAGCCGACCCGGUCAUGGAUCCUCGGUCAUGGGUGGCAUUUUUCUUCGGACUAGUCACGGUGUCCGGAGAACAAGUGCCGCCAUCCCCCACCCGGGCAUGGCAGAUACCUACGUGUGCCCAAAUCAAAUAUUCUGCCAAAACUAACACACACGUGUUCCUCCCCUUGCCGACGUAAAAACCUACAAAACAAAAAUAGCUAAUGGCCUAAGUUGCCGGGCUCAAGAUUAAUUAAAAAAAGAACACAUAAGAACAAUAAUAUUUAAAUGUAUUAUAACGACAACUCAGACCAGUGUCUAAUAUUAUACCUAUCGGUAAUAUCAACUUAAUAAUAUUUCAGGAAACACUAGCAUAUUGCAUACGUCUGAAAGUUCCACUACCUACUCGUAUUUUAGAUUUUCUGUAAAGUGAGUAAUGUAUUGGUUGUAGAGUGAUGUUUUAUUUAUUUUCUUUUUAUUUGAACACUUUUUAGGUCAUUUUUUUAUUUUUCAACAGUUUCAGUAUGCACAAAAAAAAAACUUCCGACAACGUUGGGAAUAAUGCAAAUAAUAUACGAAGUUUUUAAACAAAGCCCGCAAAUGCACUUUUACAGGGUCCAUUUAAAAUCAAUUUUCUAAUGUGAUGAUGAUCUAUGCAUAUAGGUACUAUUAAAAAAAAUCAAGACGAAAGUCAAACACCCGGUUUUUGUUUAUCGUGUAUGAACUUAUUUCAAUUUAAAUCGUACAUAAAUAAUACUCUAUAAAUUCGAUUUGUUUUUAAACUUCAGCAUAAAUCAUAAAAUAAUAUAUAUAAUAUAUUGAUUGUUGUAUACAGCUGGUUUUCAUAUUUGUAAUAUACUAUUACAUUAUAAUAACCAAUAAGUUUAUUUUUUUGACAAUUUAUGAUAUUAUAUCUGUUGGAUUUCGAAUUGAUCAUAAGUAUUUUAUUUAUUACUUUGCACUAAGCUAUCGUAUAAAAUAAUAAUAUAUAAAUAAUAAAUAGGUCGUGGUUCAAAUAUCGUUAUUUAAAAUACUACAAUAAAUAAAUGUUUAAAUUAAGAAUAAUAUGUUAAUCCAUGCAACUAAUUUAUUGUACAAUUUAAAUCACAUAAUAUUAUUGAAAAACUUAAAAUAUGAAAACAUAAUAAUUAAUUGCACCGAGUACAAAGUAUACAGUCCUAAUAGUGUAAGAAGAAGAUUAUAACGUACUCAUAUUUUAAUACAAUAUAAUAAACACAAAGUUACAUCUACGCACGUUUCCAUAAUAAUAUACAUCGACGGAAAAGUGGAUAUAUUAUACGGAUGACGUGUGGCGGAAGUAAGUUUUUUUUUUGUACAUAAUACUGAAAAAGAAAUUCAAAACACAACAUGAAAUAAUAAAUCCCCAUUGAUAAUUCAUGCGACACACAUAGAGCAGUGAAAAGUUAAGUUGUCGUCUUUUCGUUGAUAUUAAAAGUUUUAAAGAGCUAAAAUUUCUUGACAUAUUAUUACACACACCAGCUGCACCUACUGCUCACUUUGACGAUCGAUGAGAUGUUUAUUCCAACUUUAAUCGGCCGUAUCACGAGAACUCGCUCUACCUUAUUUUAUUUUUCAUAUUUGCCAUUUGGACAUUUUUCGCCUCAAUCUCCGUGUUGAUAUUAUUAUUGAAAGCUGCGUAAGUUUACCCGCCUGCUAUACGACUUGCGAGCAAUAACGGUAAUAAUUGUAAUAUCCGUUCGCUGGAAAUCCGAAGUUGAGGUAUAAUAUUGUGAAAAGCACCUACUGCUCACUUUGACGAUCGAUUCGUGUUCCGACUUUAAUCGGCCGUAUCACAAGAGCACGGUCUAUUUCUUUUUUUUUUUCCAUUUUCCGUUUAGGUCGGACGACAUUUUUCACCGCGUUCGAUCGUCCUUUCGAUAUUAUUUAAAAGGGUGUAGGUACCCUAUAUAGGAAUAGGUCAUUAUAUAUAAUGUAUCCGUUUACUGGCAAUCCUUUGAGUUAUUGUGUACCUAUCGGUAUAUAUAUUUAGACAAUAUUCACCGGUAGCUGACCGUCAUGUUUACAAACGAGACGAGAGAGAGAGAGAGAGCGAAAUAGAAAAAAAACCAAUAAAAAAAAACCCAAACACCAAAAGUCCAAUAACUUAAACCGUGUCAGGGAUCCCUUUGUCCCGAGAAGGGUUAAUUAAAAGCAAAUAUCCGACAACCCCUGUAUUGUUUACAUUUCAUUAUACUGCAGCAGACAUACAGUGACCGUAAUAUUAUAAAUUAUGUAUAUCAUAUAAAACAACGGGGCGCCGCAUCGAGUUCGGAUGACACGUGCGCAGGAGGAGCCGUCCCCGCGAAUCGGAACGAUAUUAUUUUCUCGUACAUUUCCUGCGCAAGUUGCACUCUGUACACCUGUCACCUGCCUAUAUGUGCGAGAGUCGUCUCGUUUUUACUUUUUAUUGCAAUAGUUCAAUGUGCGUAUUGACUUCCAUAUCGGCGGUACCCAACUAUUAUCUAAGUACCUAUGCACCGUGCGAGUAAAUACGAUAUGUAGAGCAAAGUGGCGCCUUCCGUGGCGGCGGGGUCUCCGAUCGUCUAAUCGUAAUUAUAGUCGUAUCCAACAAUACGGCGACCGUAAUAUUAUAAAUUACGUGCAUCACAGCCUAUAGUCGCGAUAACUCGAAUAAUUACAAAUUACACGAAAAACUUGACGACUCAAUUUUUUUUUUUAUUACACUCAUAUCGAGGUCAGGUUAGGUUAAAUUCGAGUUGGGCAUAUCGAUUAAUACAAUAUGAUAUGUCAAAGCGAUUUUUUUUUUAUCUCCCUCAAACUUCGAGUUAUCGCGAAUCGACUGUGCCUAUACAAUGUUCUAUAAAACGGCGGGGUGCCGUAUCGAGUUCGGAUAACACGUUCGCAAGGGGGAGGAGUCCCCGCGAAUCGGAACGAUAUAAUUUUCUCGUACAUUUCCUGCGCAAGUUGCUCUCGUACACCUGUCACCUGCCCGCGUCAAAAUGUGUGCAAGUCGUCUCCUUUUUACAUUAUUACAAUAGCUUAUAAUGUACUUAUAUUGACUUCCGCAUCGGCGUAGGUAAUACUUAUACGCAUUGUGCGAAUAAACACCAUAUGUAGGGCAAAGUGGCGCCUUCCGUGGCGGCGGGGUCUCCGAUCGUUUAAUCGUAAUAAUCGUAUCCAACAAUACGGCGACCGUAAUAUUAUAAAUUACGUGCAUUACAGUCCAGUCGCGAUGGCUCAAAUUUCAAUAACACGAAAAACUUGACAACUCAAUUUAUUUUUUUCUAAUCAGUUCAUUGAGGUUAGGUUAGGUUAAAUUCGAGCUGGGUAUCUCGAUUAAUACAUAAUAUCUCUCGAAGCGAUUUUUUUUUUUAUCUCCCUUCAACUUCGAGUUAUCGCGAAUCGACUGUACCUAUAUAAUUUUCUGUAAAACGACGGGGUGCCAUAUCGAGUUCGGAUAACACGUCCACAGGAAGAGCCGCCCCCGCGAAUCGGAACGAUAUUAAUUUUUCGUUCUUUUCCUGCGUAAUUUCGUGUCGAUCUCGUACACCUAUACGGUAAAACGUGCGCGAGUUGUCUCCUUCAUAUUAUAUUUAAUAUUAUAGUUUAAUGUACGUGUUAAAUUCUAUAUCGGUGGCACCUAUAGGUACUGUGAGAGUAAAUACGAUUUACUCAGCAAAGUGGCGCCUCCUGUGGCGUCUGGGUCCCCGAUCUGGCAGCAGGACGUCCCUCUUGAAAAGUACUUAAACGAAUGUGAUACCCGUACAUUUCGUUUGGUGUCAAUGUAAGUCGUAAUAAUAAUAUUUAACAAUAAUAUAAAUGUUUAGUCCAGAUCCCGAACGCUAUUCAUAUUAAUUUAAUUCAGUACCUUAAAAAAUCCUUUUUGUAAAACAGAAGAUUAAUUGUACACCUUGGUUGAAUCAGUGUACAUGCAUGUAUUUAAUUUAUUAAUAUAACAAUUAUUUAAGUUUGCCUAUGUCCACAGCUGCCAAGGAUUUUAUUUCUUUAAUAAAAAAAAAAAAAAAAUAAAUAUUAGGUAAUAUAAUAAUAAUAUUACAUAAUAAUUAUUAUAUACCUAUAGCUAUGGUUGAAAUAUACAAAGUUAUUGCAUACAUACCUCUUCUCAAUCAAAUAUUUGAUGAUAAAAACAAAAAUGGUAGCGUAAACGGACCCAAUAAUAAUCAAGUCUAUAUGCGCGGGAUUUUGAAUUUGUUAGCUAUUGUCAGCGUAUUUUUGAUGAUAAGAAAAAUUUAUAUCUGUGAUAUCCCUUUACGCAGCCAUUUUGUUUCUGAUGAUAACAAUCCGAGUCGAUAUGCAAUAACCUGUAUAUUUAAACCAUGCCUAUAGCCUACAGGUACCAAAUACCAAUGAUGGUUAAAAGUAUAAACAUUUAAAUGUAUAACUUAUAUAUUAAUAUAAUGUCGUAGACCCUCCCAACUCAGAAAACCUCUAGUUGGGCUACUGUCUACUGAUUUGGUGAACACUAUAUGGGUUUUUAGACAGACACCCGUAGUAUCAUUGUUGUUAAUUGUAAAAUAAUAAAAUGACAACUAACGAAUUACCUGAUUUCGUAAAUCUUAUCACUAUAAAAUUCAGCCGACCAGUUUCGUAUUUACUGGAUGUUGGAGGGUAAGAGGUGAUGGCGAUAUGGAGGACUUAACCUUUUAUUAAAAAUAAUUGUUUGAAUUCCAAGAAAAUAUUUCUUCGUAUAUGGGUAUUCUUAUAAUGCUGAAAAUACUCGCGCCUGAGGUCUGAAGUAGUUGGCAUUCAAAUAUACUUUGACAAAGAGCAAAGACAAAUGUGAAAUUGCAAUAAUAAUUGAUGAUGCUCAAUUCUCAAUUGUUAGUUCUGAGAAAAUUAAUAUGGAAUAUUCUAAAUAACAAUAUAAUAUACACAAUAUUAUCAAAGGUUCUAUAGUUAUUAUCGCUAUAGCCUAACAGGAUAGUUCCCCAAACUAUAUAUUACGAAGUUACGGGUAAGAAUAUAUAGGCCGAUCGCCUGAUUGUCGUCGUGUCACAAGAAUAACAAAAUCAUGCCAGAUGAAACCAUCGAUGAGUUAAGUCUAUGAAUAAUAAAAAAUUACAAAGGUUGAUUUUGUGUUACAAAUGUUAAUGACUACGACUAUGAUUUAUGACUGUAUACAUAACAAUAAUUACAUUUUAUCCGUGAUAAUAAUAUAACUAAGUAGUAACUGAUGAGUAAGAAUGUUAAUAUACAUAUACCGUAACAAUAUGCCUAUUCGGAAUAGCAUUGAUACAUACAGUUAAGACUUCAAUAAUAACUAAAUAAAUCUCGACAGUCAAUAAUUAUUAUUGUGAAUGGUAAUAGGUAUUACAUUUUGUUCCGGCCAAAACAUAUUACGAUUAUUUAACCUCUGUGGUAACACGGGUUCCGUAUAGGUAAUUAAUUUUGGCAACGUAUAUUUCGUGUUUAAUUAGCUAUGCAGUUAUCAAAAUAUUUUAAGGCGUCUCGGGCGUCCAGGGGGUGGUGGUGGUGGUGGUGGUGGUGAAGGAAUUGUGAUUCGUUUCGCCUUUAUUACCCAUGUGUUUAUCGGUGUGUAAUAUAAAUAAUAUAAUACGGUAGGUAUAUAAACAAUGGGGUACACUGCGGCAGUAUACUGUGGCACGGAGCAUACAUUAUAAUCAUACGAUUGCAUAAUAUAACGUACGCCGACAGGGUUGAAAGUGAAUAUUUUAGCACUCUUAAAUGAAAACAAUGACAAGGCAAAAGUAAUUAUUAUUAAUGGAAUGUUCACCGAUGUAACUAUUAUUUUUACUACCACUAUACCACCGUCUAAUAUAGAUACUAUUUCUGCUAUGUGCGAGUAUACUGCGGAAUAUGGAAAGUGUCGGAAAACUCCGCCCCGGCCGAUAUUAAUUGACUAUAAUAUUUAUUAUAUUAUAUAGAUAUAAUACCUAUAUAGGCACCUAUAUAAUACGCCAAGUCAGACUUUUUAUUUUUUUAUUUUUUUUUCAUGAAUCGUAGUUGGUUCGGGGAAUAAGAUCACAACUACUUCUAUUCAGUGGCGUGCUCAGCUUUUUUGAAAGGGGGAAUUUAAAUUUUUGACAAUUCUCAGACCACGCGUUAUAUAGUGGUAAAUAAACUUUCAUUGCUUUAUCAUAUACCAAGACAAAAAUGUCCUAAAGGGUGAUAUGACACCUUCACCCCCCCCCCCCCCCACGGUGAACACAAUCCAGCUUCUACAGAUACUUCAACUAUUCUAAUAUUAUUUAUUACUACUACAACUACUACUUCUACCACUGCUACUACUACUAGAUUUCUUUUUUUGUAUGUUUAAGUCGCAACCACGGGGGGCACUUUCUCUUUUCGGGCAGUCCUUACCCCGUAGAGGCAUCGUUUAUUAUAUGCUCUAAGAAAAGAAAAACAUCUCAUAACAUAUUAUGCUUAACACUAAUAUAUAUGGCAUACAUUUUUGGACAUCGCCUAGGCACUACGGUAACAAAUACUUAACGUUAUUCACAAUAUAAACAUUUUGGUUUUUCCCGUUUCUGCAGUCUUAUAUAAUAUUCUAAUAUUUACUAGUAACCUCUCUGGCGUUACUUUUUUUUCUCUUCUUGUAUAGUCUACACCGAGUCACAUCGAUUUAUUUGCCGAUGACUUUCCACUUCCACUUACCCUUGAACAGUUCGCUAGGUAACUGCUUAUCACUGGUUUCAGCUCCGCCUUGACGACCACCAUAAGCUCUUUUCUUCGUCACCACCAAAGAUCUCAAUGUAAAAAAGUAGCAAAGCAAAGGCAGUUUUCUCACAGGUUCAGCAAUUCAAAGACGAAAAAAAAACUAUUUCUUCUAUUACUGUGGUUCUGAAGUAUUGCAGGCUUAGUAAUUUGUAUGUGAUUAAUACGCGUAAUUUAGAUAAACAAGAAAAAAAAUAACGUUUACAACGGUAAAAUGAGAUCAAACUUUCAAAACUUGUUCAUCAACUGUGCUUGAAACUGUUGUACAGUUUUUAACUCUCUCGACUUAUAAAUUGCCGAGGCUGGCGAUGGUGACUUUUGAAUGUUUAAUGUAUGCCGUUAUUUUCGAGAGUGCAUUAUAUUGUUCAGCUUUUAUCUGAGUUAUUGUAUGCAUUAGGUACAUCUUGAAAAAAAAUUCUUUUUAAAACACAAACUUCACAACACAUUAUAAUAUGUGUGCAACGCCAUUAUAUAUUAUAACCGUUCGAUAAUCAUAUUAUAUGGCCGAAAAUAAGAUGUGAAAUGAACAUGAUUUUAACAAAACAUAAAUUAUUUCAACUACACAAUGAAUGUAUAUAAUAAUAAUAUCCAUACUUCGUGUAUAACCUAUUAUAAAUGAUCCAUAUAAAACCUUUUUUUUUAAACCAAAUAAGUGGUGAUGUGUACAAUAAAUUAAUAAAUGUCUACGUGUGUCCAAAUCAUAAAAACGUUAUUAUACCUACCUAUAGCUUGAAAAUGAUUUAUCCGAUCUAUUGCAAAAUAUAGAUUAUAAUAUUAUGUUAUGGGCAUGUUUUAUUUUUGUUUUACUGAAUAUUAUUCCUGUCCAUUCGUAUAACAGAGCAAUGCUUUAUUGUUAGUAAAUAUAAAUAAUAUUUCUCUAAUAACAAUUAAUAACGUACAACAUUUCCUAGAGAAAAAUGUCAAACAUGCCAAUAAAAUAUAUUUAAACAUUAUGGCGAUGCCCAAUAUACAUAAUAUGCAAAAUGGUUUAUUAUUAUACAAGUACAAUGCAGUUUUUGGAUUUAGUCACUGGUAGGUAUUUUCUUGUUCACUGUUCAAAAACUAUACCAUACAUCAUUAUGGACAUAUCGCUUUAUUCAAGGUGAUAUAUAAGCUCAAUUACAUUUGGCGGUUUUAUUAAUUAUAUUAAAUCAACAAACUAUAGUCAUGAAUCCCAAUCACUUGAAAUAAUAUAAACCAUGUUAAAUUAAUACAUUUCAUCGUAAUACAUUAUCUGUAACAGUGCAACGCUAUUUCGUUAUCACUGAAUAAUUUAUGUACUAAACAAAUGUUUAUGAAUUUCAAUUAUGUGGACCAACCACGACCAACCGAAGAUAGAUGAGAAUGCUGAAUAUGUGACUUACUGAUAGUAAUCCGAACGAGGCGCAUAAUAUAUAAACGAAACCAAUUCUGCGCUUUUCCUUCGGUCCCAUUAAACUUAGGUAAUAACAGUUAACGUAGAGAACUAUUGUGACGGUUGUAAUUGACUAUUGAUCACAAUUAAGUUUACUAUACAAUUUUGAACGUCUAAAUAAUUAGGACAACAGGUGUAACCA